rnacentral:rRNA from 1 species
AGAGUUUGAUCCUGGCUCAGAUUGAACGCUGGCGGCAUGCCUUACACAUGCAAGUCGAACGGUAACAGGUCUUCGGAUGCUGACGAGUGGCGAACGGGUGAGUAAUACAUCGGAACGUGCCCGAGAGUGGGGGAUAACGCAGCGAAAGCUGUGCUAAUACCGCAUACGAUCUACGGAUGAAAGCAGGGGACCGCAAGGCCUUGCGCUCAUGGAGCGGCCGAUGGCAGAUUAGGUAGUUGGUGGGAUAAAAGCUUACCAAGCCGACGAUCUGUAGCUGGUCUGAGAGGACGACCAGCCACACUGGGACUGAGACACGGCCCAGACUCCUACGGGAGGCAGCAGUGGGGAAUUUUGGACAAUGGGCGAAAGCCUGAUCCAGCCAUGCCGCGUGCAGGAUGAAGGCCUUCGGG